rnacentral:rRNA from 1 species
AUAGCCUUAAAAAUAAAUUGGAUACUACAAACAACAGUUUAAACCCUAAAGAAAUUGGCGGUGUCUAAUCAAAUUAGGGGAACCUGUUCCAUAACUCGAUAAUCCACGAAUUCCUUGCCUAUAUUUGAAUAUCAGCCUGUGUACUGCCGUCGCAGUAUACUUUUCAAAAUGUAUGCUAACAUAUACUAUAUAGUAAGUCAGGUCAAAGUGCAGCCAAUAUAUAGGUGGUAAUGGGUUACAAUCUAUAUAAAGAUACAAAUAUUAUAUAAAUAAUAUAAUUGAAGGUGGACUUAACAGUAAUUAAAUACAAAAUAAUGAACUAGAAUCUGAGACAUGUACAUAUCGCCCGUCACUCCUGCC